UGGGGGAUAUUGCACAAUGGGCGAAAGCCUGAUGCAGCGACGCCGCGUGGGGGAUGAAGGCCUUCGGGUUGUAAACUUCUUUUGCUCUGAACAAGGCGCACCAUGGGGUGUGUUGAGUGUAGGGGUUGAUUAGCGCCGGCUAACUACGUGCCAGCAGCCGCGGUAAUACGUAGGGCGCGAGCGUUGUCCGGAAUUAUUGGGCGUAAAGGGCUUGUAGGUGGCUGGUUGCGUCUGUCGUGAAAGCUCAUGGCUUAACUGUGGGUUUGCGGUGGGGACGGGCUGGCUUGAUUGCAGUAGGGGAGGCUGGAAUUCCUGGUGUAGCGGUGGAAUGCGCAGAUAUCAGGAGGAAUACCGGUGGCGAAGGCGGGUCUCUGGGCUGUUACUGACACUGAGGAGCGAAAGCAUGGGGAGCGAACAGG
rnacentral:rRNA from 1 species